AGGGAGAUUCAGUAUGACACAGAAUGUGACAAGAAUGGCCCUUUGAAAUACAGGUACUACUCAUUUUUGUCAGCUGAGUGGACUGGAACAUCAUGAAAUAAAGUGUCUUGCUCAAGGACGCAACAUGCCACUAGGAAUCAAAUUCAUGAUCUUACAGCCAUUAGCCA